AGAGUUUGAUCCUGGCUCAGGAUGAACGCUGGCGGCGUGCUUAACACAUGCAAGUCGAACGAUCCUUCGGGAUAGUGGCGGACGGGUGAGUAACGCGUGGGAAUCUGCCCUCAGGAGGGGGAUAACGGCUGGAAACGGCCGCUAAUACCCCAUAUGCCGAGAGGUGAAAUGAAUUUCGCCUGAGGAUGAGCCCGCGUCUGAUUAGCUAGUUGGUGGGGUAAAGGCCUACCAAGGCAACGAUCAGUAGCUGGUCUGAGAGGAUGAUCAGCCACACUGGGACUGAGACACGGCCCAGACUCCUACGGGAGGCAGCAGUGGGGAAUUUUCCGCAAUGGGCGAAAGCCUGACGGAGCAACGCCGCGUGAGGAUGAAGGCCUCUGGGCUGUAAACCUCUUUUCUCAAGGAAGAAGACCUGACGGUACUUGAGGAAUAAGCCACGGCUAAUUCCGUGCCAGCAGCCGCGGUAAUACGGGAGUGGCAAGCGUUAUCCGGAAUUAUUGGGCGUAAAGCGUCCGCAGGCGGCCUUGUAAGUCUGUUGUUAAAGCGUGGAGCUCAACUCCAUUUAAGCAAUGGAAACUACAAGGCUGGAGUGUGGUAGGGGCAGGGGGAAUUCCCGGUGUAGCGGUGAAAUGCGUAGAUAUCGGGAAGAACACCAGUGGCGAAGGCGCUCUGCUGGGCCAUAACUGACGCUCAUGGACGAAAGCCAGGGAGCGAAAGGGAUUAGGUACCCCUGUAGUCCUGGCCGUAAACGAUGAACACUAGGUGUCGGGGGAAUCGACCCCCUCGGUGUCGUAGCCAACGCGUUAAGUGUUCCGCCUGGGGAGUACGCACGCAAGUGUGAAACUCAAAGGAAUUGACGGGGGCCCGCACAAGCGGUGGAGUAUGUGGUUUAAUUCGAUGCAACGCGAAGAACCUUACCAGGGUUUGACAUCCUGCGAACCCCUGAGAAAUCGGGGGGUGCCUUCGGGAGCGCAGAGACAGGUGGUGCAUGGCUGUCGUCAGCUCGUGUCGUGAGAUGUUGGGUUAAGUCCCGCAACGAGCGCAACCCACGUCUUUAGUUGCCAGCAUUCAGUUGGGCACUCUAGAGAGACCGCCGGUGAUAAACCGGAGGAAGGUGUGGAUGACGUCAAGUCAUUAUGCCCCUUACAUCCUGGGCUACACACGUACUACAAUGCUACGGACAAAGGGCAGCAAGCUCGCGAGAGUUAGCAAAUCCCAUAAACCGUGGCUCAGUUCAGAUCGUAGGCUGCAACUCGCCUACGUGAAGGAGGAAUCGCUAGUAAUCGCAGGUCAGCAUACUGCGGUGAAUACGUUCCCGGGCCUUGUACACACCGCCCGUCACACCAUGGAAGUUGGCCAUGCCCGAAGUCGUUACUCCAACCCUUGUGGAGGAGGACGCCGAAGGUGGGGCUGAUGACUGGGGUGAAGUCGUAACAAGGUA
rnacentral:rRNA from 1 species